CGCGUAGGCGGCUGUGCAAGUCGGACGUGAAAUCCCUCGGCUCAACCGAGGAACUGCGUCCGAAACUGCACGACUUGAGUCCCGGAGAGGGUAGCGGAAUUCCCAGUGUAGCGGUGAAAUGCGUAGAUAUUGGGAGGAACACCUGUGGCGAAGGCGGCUACCUGGACGGGUACUGACGCUGAGGCGCGAAAGCUAGGGGAGCAAACAGGAUUAGAUACCCUGGUAGUCC
rnacentral:rRNA from 1 species